CAGACAGAAAAUAUCGAAAACAUUUGUUGGAACCGAACACAUAAAGAACAAACUAAAGGUCCCCACAUAACGGCAUUAUGCUACCAGUAGGGGUAGUAACCAUAUUUACACUGACUGACUGAGUUUGGUUUUACGCCGC